rnacentral:rRNA from 1 species
GACGAACGCUGGCGGCGUGCUUAACACAUGCAAGUCGAACGGUAAGGCCCUUCGGGGUACACGAGUGGCGAACGGGUGAGUAACACGUGGGUGAUCUGCCCUGCACUUCGGGAUAAGCCUGGGAAACUGGGUCUAAUACCGGAUAGGACUCCGGACUGCAUGGUCUGGGGUGGAAAGCUUUUGCGGUGUGGGAUGGGCCCGAGGCCUAUCAGCUUGUUGGUGGGGUGAUGGCCUACCAAGGCGACGACGGGUAGCGGGCCUGAGAGGGUGACCGGCCACACUGGGACUGAGAUACGGCCCAGACUCCUACGGGAGGCAGCAGUGGGGAAUAUUGCACAAUGGGCGCAAGCCUGAUGCAGCGACGCCGCGUGAGGGAUGACGGCCUUCGGGUUGUAAACCUCUUUCAGCAUCGACGAAGCGAAAGUGACGGUAGGUGCAGAAGAAGGACCGGCCAACUACGUGCCAGCCGCCGCGGUAA